rnacentral:rRNA from 1 species
CGUAGGGGUGCAAGCGUUGUCCGGAAUUAUUGGGGCGUAAAAGAGCUCGUAGGCGGGUGUGUCACGUCUGCCGUGAAAACCUGCGGCUUAACCGUGGGCGUGCGGUGGAUACGGGCAUCACUUGAGUUCGGUAGGGGGAGACUGGAAUUCCUGGUGUAGCGGUGGAAUGCGCAGAUAUCAGGAGGAACACCAGUGGCGAAGGCGGGUCUCUGGGCCGAAACUGACGCUGAGGAGCGAAAGCGUGGGGGAGCGAACAGGAUU